UUAAAACUCAAAUGAAUUGCGGGGGGCCCGCACAAGCGGUGGAGCAUUUGGUUUAAUUCGAUGCAACGCGAAGAACCUUACCUGGUCUUGACAUCCAGGUGCUGCAUGGCUGUCGUCAGCUCGUGUUGUGAAAUGUUGGGUUAAGUCCCGCAACGAGCGCAACCCUUAUCCUUUGUUGCAACUCAAAGGAGACUGCCAGUGAUAAACUGGAGGAAGGUGGGGAUGACGUCAAGUCAUCAUGGCCCUUACGACCAGGGCUACACACGUGCUUCAAUGGCGCAUACAAAGAGAAGCGACCUCGCGAGAGCAAGCGGACCUCAUAAAGUGCGUCGUAGUCCGGAUUGGAGUCUGCAACUCGACUCCAUGAAGUCGGAAUCGCUAGUAAUCGUGGAUCAGAUGCCACGGUGAAUACGUUCCCGGGCCUUGUACACACCGCCCGUCACACCAUGGGAGUGGGUUGCAAAAGAAGUAGGUUACCACUUUGUGAUUCAUGACUGGGGUGAAGCGUAACAAGUAACCAAGG
rnacentral:rRNA from 1 species